rnacentral:lncRNA from 10 species
UAGACCUUAGUUUAGGUAUUGGGGCCAAAGGAUGGAUGACCAUUUCAAACGAUCCAGGCUAAGCCAGGAGGAGAGCUCAAAGUCUGAUCUGGUACGUUGCAAGGAUCGAGGGACAGAGCGUGCAGCAAGUGGCCAAUGAAUAGAAGUCUGGUUUUCUGAGCAUCCUUGCAGCUGCAGGCUUCAGUCUACCAGAGAAUGUGAGGUGUUAUUCUUCUAGGGCAGUGGUUAGAAAAGAAAAUGAAAGUAGCAGUACUCUUUUCCUAAUGCAACCAUAGAUGAUCAGAAUUUGUAAUCCAUAAGGUAGAAGCUGCUGUGCCUGAAGAAAUAGAAAGUGGGCAGAGGUGGAGGGGCAAGAGCAGGAGGUGACCAAUCUUGGAAAUAAGGAAGGGAGAGAGGCAGCCAAGCCAGCAGCUCCUAGGAUUAGUCACUGCCUGGAGCCAGCUCUUGGAAGUUCCCCAGGAGCUGUCCAGUCUUAUGUCAUGUCUAGUCAGCAGAGUCCCAAAGAAGCUUGUCAUUCUCUAGGCAUUUGUGCUUACAUUCUGAUGGGCCUAAUAGCAGGGAGAUGACAUGGAGCCCAGGCAGAACUGCUGAGAUUUCUACUGGUCAUGACCUCCAUCUUCUCCUUCACACCUUUCCUACCUUUCUUUUUUCAUGCAUUCAACAGACAUUUAUUACCCAAUAAGUGCCAGGUAGUAAGCGAGGACCUGGGGAGAGCAGAUGAGUAAGACACCGUCUCUGUCUCUCAGGAGCUCUCAGAUUCUUAGGGACACAUGUACAUCCUAAUAAACACAGUGCAUC